rnacentral:sRNA from 1 species
UAUUGCUGGCAAUCAGCACGGGCGUCGAGGAAACUCUGCGCCCGUGCACGCAUGUUGAAGGGCAGGAAAAGAAAU